rnacentral:rRNA from 1 species
CCUGUAAGGGGAGUGAAAUAGAACCUGAAACCGUGUACGUACAAGCAGUGGGAGCACCUUCGUGGUGUGACUGCGUACCUUUUGUAUAAUGGGUCAGCGACUUACAUUCAGUGGCGAGGUUAACCGAAUAGGGGAGCCGUAGAGAAAUCGAGUCCGAACAGGGCGACAGUCGCUGGGUGUAGACCCGAAACCAAGUGAUCUAUCCAUGGCCAGGAUGAAGGUGCCGUAACAGGUACUGGAGGUCCGAACCCACUACUGUUGCAAAAGUAGGGGAUGAGCUGUGGAUAGGGGUGAAAGGCUAAACAAACCUGGAAAUAGCUGGUUCUCUCCGAAAACUAUUUAGGUAGUGCCUCAAGUAUCACCAUCGGGGGUAGAGCACUGUUAUGGCUAGGGGGUCAUCGCGACUUACCAAACCAUUGCAAACUCCGAAUACCAGUACGUACUAUCCGGGAGACACACGGCGGGUGCUAACGUCCGUCGUGAAAAGGGAAACAACCCAGACCCACAGCUAAGGUCCCAAAUUCACUGCUAAGUGGAAAACGAUGUGGAAAGGCAUAGACAGCCAGGAGGUUGGCUUAGAAGCAGCCACCCUUUAAAGAAAGCGUAAUAGCUCACUGGUCGAGUCGGUCUGCGCGGAAGAUUUAACGGGGCUAAGCAGUGAACCGAAGCUUGGGGUGCGUAAAACUUCGGUUUUAUGCGCGGUAGAGGAGCGUUCCGUAAGCCUGCGAAGGUGGAUUGAGAAGUCUGCUGGAGGUAUCGGAAGUGCGAAUGCUGACAUGAGUAACGAUAAUGCGGGUGAAAAGCCCGCACGCCGAAAGCCCAAGGUUUCCUUGCGCAACGUUAAUCGACGCAGGGUUAGUCGGUCCCUAAGGCGAGGGCGAAAGCCGUAGUCGAUGGGAAGCAGGUUAAUAUUCCUGCACCUCGCGUGAGUGCGAUGGAGGGACGGAGAAGGUUAGGUGUACCGGGCGUUGGUUGUCCCGGGGAAAGGCGGUAGGUUUGGAUCUUUGGCAAAUCCGGGAUCCUUUAAGACCGAGCACCGAGACGAGCCUUUAUGGCGAAGUCACUGAUACCACGCUUCCAGGAAAAGCUCCUAAGCUUCAGCUCACGAAGACCGUACCGUAAACCGACACAGGUGGGUAGGAUGAGAAUACUCAGGCGCUUGAGAGAACUCGGGUGAAGGAACUAGGCAACAUGGCACCGUAACUUCGGGAGAAGGUGCACCCUUUUUGGUGGCUCAUGCGAGCUAUAGCUGAAGAGGGUCGCAGAAACCAGGCCGCUGCGACUGUUUAUCAAAAACACAGCACUCUGCAAACACGAAAGUGGACGUAUAGGGUGUGACGCCUGCCCGGUGCUGGAAGGUUAAUUGAUGGG